rnacentral:lncRNA from 1 species
CUGAGGACCCUACUUUAUUUAUAUAAUGUAAGCACAGGGUGGACACUCGAUAAAUGAACUCACUUGUUCAGGUUGCUUCUCAGAGCCAGCAGUAGAAGUCUCAGGCAACCCAUGCUACUAAGCUUACACUGGGCUGAGGUCCUCCGUUGGUCACGUGCUUCUUUGCUGCGAGGACAUUGGUCUCUUCAUCAGUGGAUUUCUGACUCCUGGCCUGUAUCUUGCAUCAUUUUUCUUUUAAUUUAAAAUUGAGAUAAAAUACAUUGACAACAAGACUCGGGUGGAAUGUCAUCCUAGAUGCUCACAGCAAAGCAAGUCCCCA